rfam:Gossypium raimondii Chr11_contig_1472, whole genome shotgun sequence.
UAUGUCGCAUUGGGCCGAGCUUGGACAAGCAUAAAAUAUGUUAAUAUCACGCUUAGGCCCGGUCCAGACCUG